UCUGAAGGGCUCUUCAUUUCUCUUGCUCCUCAGAGGAAGAGUCUACUUUUCCAGUCUCUUCUUUUUGAGAACUCCCCACCUUUCCCCACAAGGCUUCUCCUUGUCCCAGGAUCCCUUUCUGAACACAGUUUGUGGAAUGCAAUCACCCAUAAUAACAGGUCUCAGAGCCUGAAUUUUCAAUCAAGGGUGACCCUGCUGAGAGCUCCAGUUGCAGAUCCACUGUGGGCUUUUGCACCAAAACUCCAAUCCUCUUGCUACGCGAGCGAAGGAUGAAGAUUUGUUCUCUUUUUAUCCGUCCACUUGUAUCUGUCUCCUGGGCUGCUGGGGGAAUUCUUGGACGGAUAUACACAUGUGUGUACUUGUGCACACAUAUGCAUACAUCUUAUAAACAUACACAACAAUUCUAAAACAAUAGUAAGACAGGGAACAAUUUUCCUAAAGAUGCCAUCAUUCUCAAGGCUCCACCCAACCUAAAAUAAGACAACCCUUUAUGUUAUGAUGUAGAGAAUUUUCUUUCUUUUUUCUCUUCUUUUUAGGGCUCCGGGGCACCUCCAUAUACCGUGGAUGCAGCCCUAAAAAGCCAAACAAACAAACAAACUGAAUUGUUAUAUACCUUGGGUUCCUUUUCUCCCUCUCAUUUCUUCAGGUCUCUGCAGCCUUCAGAGCAUGCUUUCACAACCCACAGGGCAGUGUAGCUUGUUGGGAGUGUGGUCUCUUGAGUCACUGUUAACCCACGUGUCCUGCUUCUUUCUCUCUAGCUAAAUGGGACUUAACAAGGGAUGAUUCUUAUGGAUUUUCAUUAAUUUCCUCACCCUUCUUCCCCUGAGACCCUACACCUGGCAGAAAUUUAUUUAUUCAUUUAUUCAACAAGUAUUUCUUGAGCAUUGUCAUGUGCCAAGUGCUGUGCCAGCCCUGGGGGGUACCACAGGGAGAGAGAAAGAGGAGAGAGAAAAAGAAAGGACAACAUCUUUACUCUCAAGGCGCUCACAAUCUGCUAGAAGACACAGAAAGGAAGCAAAACCCCCAAGGAAAACUAAAAUUAAAACCGAAAAGUACCGUGAAGAAAAAACUCAUGAUGCCGCGUGGGGAAAAUAAAGUCUUCACUGGGAGUUCCCUGGUGACUCAGCAGGUUAAAGAUCUGGCAUUGUCACUGCUCUGGCUCUGGUUACUGCCAUGGUGCAGGUCCGAUCCCCAGCCCAGGAACUUCCAAAUGCCCUGAGUGAAGCCAAAAAAAAAAAAAAAAGUCUUUGUCAGGAAGCUCAGGGCAGGGUGCUCCCAUCGUGGUUCAGCAAAAAGGAAUCUGACUAGUAUCCAUGAGGAUGCAGGUUUGACACCUGGCCUCACUCAGUGGGUUAAGACUGUGGUAUUACUGUGAGCUGUGGUGUAGGUUGCAGGCGUGGCUUGGAUCGGCCAGCAGCUGCAGAUCCGAUUGGACCCCCAGCCUGGGAACUUCCAAAAGACAAAAAAAGCUCAGGGACGGUCCCUGAACUGGAGAUGAAGGCCAGUAGGGGCCAACCAGGCAGAGAAGGGGGAAGAAAGGAGAAGAGAACCGUGUCUCGGUCAGAGGAAUAGCAUGUGCCAAAGUCCUGUGGCAGAAAGGAGAAAGGGGCCCUGGAGGGAAGCAAGGUGAAAACAGUGGAGACAGUCUUGUUAAAGAUGCAGGUCUUCAUCCUAAGGUAGUUUGCAUGAGGGUGGGGGUGGUGGAGAUGGAGAGAAGCAAACAGGUUUGCACAACGUUUCAGGAGUAACAUUACCGGAACGUGGGAGUGAAUUUGACCUGGAGAGAGAGCAUGUUGUCAACGAUGAGUCCUCCAUUCCUGGCCUCUGAGUUCAUGGAGAAAGGAACUUGGAUGGCAGCAUCACACUGCCCAGGCCCUUCCUAGCAGUCCCGCCCCAGCCUAUGCCCCCAUGAUGCUGAGUCCAUUUCAAGUCUCCUGGGCGUGUCGAGUUGGCUUGCUGCACUCUUUGCUAAACCCUCUCAGAGCGGGGGUGGUGGGGGGCGGAGAACAUCCUCUCAUUUUAAUCCAGCAACCCACCUCCAAAAACCUUCUCUCUGAAGGCUCAACUGAGCCACGUGCCUCUCAGUCAUUUCCAGGGAAGGGUGGGCCGGCUUCAUCAGCACUAAGUGAAAUCCUGUGUUCCUGCCAGAGGCUUUGAUAUAUGGGACGAUGCUGGCAAGAGCUGGGGCUGGGGCGGGGGGAGGAUCUUUUUUUAAUUUUUUUAAUCCACCUCCAUGGAAUCGCUUGAAUGGCAGUUGACAAUUAGCUGCUAAGUAAAAGGAGGCACUUAUUUUUAUUGCAGGGGGCCUUGACAGCUUUAUGUUCACUCUUUAAAAGCCCAGAGUCCUGUGUGUAAAGGUGAGCAGGGAGGAGAAGUAGUGUGGGAAGGAGGAAGGGAGGGCCAGGGGCAGGUGCCGACAGAUCCCAUGGUUUCUGUGCCGGAGUCUGAACCCGAGCAGUUAUUUACAAGGAUGUGCUGAUCUGGAAGCCAGAGAGGAUGGUUCCUCCAGCCUGGGGAGGACGGAAAGCCUGAGGCUGGCCCGGCAGAAACCACGAUUCCUCGGCCCCCGCCAUGCCUCAUAUUCCCAUGCCGCGGUGGGAAUGGGGCUGUGGCUUCCCUGCUCUGGCACUGCUCUUUUGCUGGAAUUUCAGGAAAAAAAACCCCAAACUCCAGAAGAAAGGUAUUUCUUUUCUCUUUGGGGAUUCAGUUCUUUCACUAAAAGACACUUGGCCCCGUUCCCCUUUCCUCUCCUGGCUGAGAUGGAGAUGCUCCGGGGACUGGCCAGUGGGGAUGACAGAGCCAGUGGGGAGGAGGGAAAAAGGGGCAGGGCAGCACUUGGUGACCUGGGCUGACUGAAGGUGGGUGGAAGGGGCUCUUGGGCUGAAUGCAGGAGUGUUUGAGCUCUGAUAAAAGAGGAUCUAAGGUAGAAAGGAAGGGGACAGCUCCUCCUUCUCCUGGUGCUUCCCGGGACCAACACAGUGUUCUGGGGUUUUCCAGCCAAUCUGGGGAGGGGGCUUGAGAAGUAGAGGAUGGAGGAUGGCUUGAGAGCAGAGGCUGGGCUUCACCCUAUAUCCCCUCCUCUCGAGACUGUUUUAUUCCACUGACUUUAAACAAGAAGGAUUAAAGCCCCGAUUUUAGAAUCACAGGGCAAAUGCAACCUUGGACAAACACCUAAGCCGAGCCUCAGUUUUCUCAUCUGUAAAAUGGAACAAUGUGUUCUACUUUGUGAAGUUCUUACGAGGGCUAAACAAGAACACACAUGAACGUUUUUUUAGGGUGGGUAGUUUGUCAGAAAAUUAGCUUAAUUAAAUGUGUGAAUUAUGAGAUCACAUAGUAGAAUUCAUUAAGAUUUGCACUGGUUUAGAUGGAAAUGCAUCUGGUAAUGGUGCCAGGGUCAGAGUGAUGGGCAGUGGUGAGUGGCCGAGUGGCCUGCUGAGGGUAGAAAGAACAGCAGGGUGCUAGUUCCUUGAAGGGCUGCGUGUGAGCUGGGAGGGGACAGCAUAGAAAGGGGCCUCUUGCUUUCCUUGGGGUGGAAAAUGGUCUUUGAGUAUCAUGCCCUGUCUGCGGUCUUCUGCCUUCACUGGUCACUUCCCUAGGAUUCCUGGGUCACUUAUUCCCUCAUUGCUAAGCCAUUUCAUGUCCACUUGGGAUCAAAGGGCAGCAAUCAGAACCAGAAGUCAGAGGUAGAUAGAACUCAGGAUUGGGUCUAUGGAGUUCUAGGGAUGUUUUGGCUUUUAUACUCCUUACCUGCGAUGGGAGAUGAAGCAUGGCAAAGCAUGGUGUAGACCAGCUGAAGAAUCGAGGAUGCCCUUCCUCUCGUGCCAGAAGGGACCUGCGGGCCUGAUGGCUCUAGAGCAGGCAGCUCUCAUUUCUUGUUGGUGGGAAUAGCUUGGGCUGAUUUCUAGGCUGCAGCUGGAAAGUUCAGAGUCUUCCUCAUAUGGGGAUAUUUAAAGCUGUGCGAUUAUGAAGGACUUGCACCCGAGGAAGGGAAGUGCUGGGACCCUUCGGCCUUUAGAGGACAGGGAGAAAGGAGGAGGAAGAGCUGAGGUGGCUGAGACGGAGGAGCUAAUGCAGUGAAUGGAGAAACCAAAGUCAUGUGAGAGAUUGUCUCAAGAAAGAGGGGUGAUUGCAGAGGAACUUAUUCAUAAAACAGAAAGACACACACAGACUUAGAAAACAAGAUUAUGGUUACCAAAGGGGACAGCUGCGGGGGCAGGGAGGAUAAAUUAGGGGUUUGAGAUUAACGUGGACACUGCACUGUUUGUAAAAUAAGUAAACAAGGACCUGCUGUAUAGCACAGGUAACUCAAUAUCUUGUAAUAACUUAUAAUGGGAAAGAAUCUGAAAAAGAACAUAUCUGUAUCUGUAUCUGUCUCUAUUAUCUAUCUGUCUAUCUAUCCAUCUAUCCGUAUCUGAUUCGCUUUGCUAUACACCUGAAACUAACACAAUGUUGUAAACUAAUUCUACCUCAAUUAAAAAAAAAAA
rnacentral:lncRNA from 1 species